UAAAACUUGCAUUAUACUAUAAUGCAUCUCCUGAAUGCAACUCAAGCACUUUAAUUAAGCUAAAGCUUU
rnacentral:tRNA from 1 species